GAGAGCAGUGCAGGAUCCUGGGCUGUGCCCUCUGGCGCCCUGGGCUCUGGGGCCUGCGCUGCUGGAAAGGUGCUCCCGGCCCCGGCUCCU
rnacentral:pre_miRNA from 1 species